rnacentral:rRNA from 1 species
UUCAGGCGAAGUCAUUGAUCCUAUGCUGCCUAGAAAAGCCCAGCAGCGAGUUGACAUGGUGCCCGUACCCCAAACCAACACAGGUGGACAGGUAGAGCAUACCAAGGCGAGUGGGAUAACUAUGGUUAAGGAACUCGGCAAAUUGCCUCCGUAACUUCGGGAGAAGGAGGACCCCAGUAGCGUGAUGAGACUUGCUCUCUGAGCGUGAAGGGGUGGCACAAAAUUGAGGGAAGCGACUGUUUACCAAAAACACAGCAGCGUGCUAAGCCGUAAGGCGCUGUAUACGCUGUGACUCCUGCCCGGUGCUGGAAGGUUACGGGGAUGGGUUAGUCCUUCGGGACGAAGCUCUGAACCUAAGCCCCAGUAAACGGCGGCCGUAACUAUAACGGUCCUAAGGUAGCGAAAUUCCUUGUCGGGUAAGUUCCGACCUGCACGAAUGGAGUAACGACUUCCCUACUGUCUCAACCAUAGACCCAGCGAAAUUGAAGUACGAGUAAAGAUGCUCGUUAGCUGCAGAAGGACGGAAAGACCCCGUGGACCUUUACUAUAACUUGAUGUUGUGUUUUGUCAUAUGUUGUGUAGGAUAGGUGGGAGAUUUGGAAGCAUGGACGCUAGUCUGUGUGGAGUCAUCGUUGAAAUACCACCCUGCAUAUGGUGAGGCUCUAACCUAGACCGUUAUCCGGGUUGGGGACAGCGUCAGGCGGGUAGUUUAACUGGGGCGGUUGCCUCCUAAAGAGUAACGGAGGCGCCCAAAGGUUCCCUCAGCCUGGUUGGCAAUCAGGCGUUGAGUGCAAUGGCAAAAGGGAGCUUGACUGCGAGACCUACAAGUCGAGCAGGAGCGAAAGCUGGGCAUAGUGAUCCGGCGGUUGCGUGUGGAAGCGCCGUCGCUCAACGGAUAAAAGGUACCCCAGGGAUAACAGGCUAAUCUUGCCCAAGCGUCCAUAGCGACGGCAAGGUUUGGCACCUCGAUGUCGGCUCAUCGCAUCCUGGGGCUGAAGCAGGUCCCAAGGGUUGGGCUGUUCGCCCAUUAAAGCGGUACGCGAGCUGGGUUCAGAACGUCGUGAGACAGUUCGGUCCCUAUCCUCUGCAGCCGGAGGUGAAUUGAGGAAAGCUGUCCCUAGUACGAGAGGACCGGGACGGACGCAGCUCUCGUGUGCCAGUUGUCCUGCCAAGGGCAUGGCUGGUUAGCGACCUGCGGAAAGGAUAACCGCUGAAAGCAUCUAAGCGGGAAGCCUCUUCCAAGAUGAAUUCACCCACAGGGUUAACCUGGUAAGGCCCGUGGUAGACCACCACGUUGAUAGGCCGGAAGUGUAAGCGUGGCAACACGUUCAGCUGACCGGUACUAAUCGGCCGAGGGCUUGAGCU